rnacentral:rRNA from 1 species
ACGAACGCUGGCGGCGUGCUUAACACAUGCAAGUCGAACGGAAAGGCCCUUCGGGGUACUCGAGUGGCGAACGGGUGAGUAACACGUGGGUGAUCUGCCCUGCACUUUGGGAUAAGCCUGGGAAACUGGGUCUAAUACCGGAUAGGACCACGGCAUUCAUGUGCUGUGGUGGAAAGCUUUUGCGGUGUGGGAUGGGCCCGCGGCCUAUCAGCUUGUUGGUGGGGUAAUGGCCUACCAAGGCGACGACGGGUAGCCGGCCUGAGAGGGUGACCGGCCACACUGGGACUGAGAUACGGCCCAGACUCCUACGGGAGGCAGCAGUGGGGAAUAUUGCACAAUGGGCGCAAGCCUGAUGCAGCGACGCCGCGUGAGGGAUGACGGCCUUCGGGUUGUAAACCUCUUUCGCCAGGGACGAAGCGCAAGUGACGGUACCUGGAGAAGAAGGACCGGCCAACUACGUG